UUCUCUCUCCCUACACAUACCUCAAUUUUCGCCAUCUCUUCCUUCCACGUCUCUUCCCACCGCCAAGUCGCCGUUCACUGGAUUUGCUCCACCGCCGAGUCGCCGGCCGCGUAUCUCCCACCACCACCACGUUCUCUGCUCCUCUCAUCGAGAUGUCGUGGAUCGAUUGAGCUACGAAUUAAAGAACAUUGAAGUGGUUGCCGCUCUCGGAGAUUGGGGCCACUGGUUUCAGGGUCUUGAAGUUUCUGAAACCCUUUUUGGAGAAAGUUGAGAACUUUGGCCUUGUCUUGCUCAUUGGUUUUUUUCUCUGGCCAAAUCAAGAAUGGCACAAAAGACUCAAUCAGCAAGCUAGUGUCAGACUCAAUUUUCAGUAGAUUUACUAGACUGCACUGGUUGUGGAGCCCAUAGUUCCAGUUAUUUUUCAACACACAAAGGCAACCACUUCCAUAUAGAGAAACAGGUAAGGGGGCUCUAUGAGAAGGCCCAGGACAUAUUGAUGAAAGAAAGCAAUGUUCAUGUUAGUCUUUUUAUUUAAUUCUUUUUCUUUUUCUUUAUACAAUAUGUGUAAUUCCCCAAGAUCUUGAUUCAUAUUGUAGACGUAUGCAUUGAUAUUGUUAACUAGAGCAUUAAGUUGCUUAAAUCACAAAGUUUUUGCAGUUUAUAAGCCAGCCCGUGUCUUCACUAAUAAAGAUUGCAGCAGAAGUAGGCAAAUGAACUCAGUUUUUGGGAAACUCAUACAGAGUCUCUCUUUUAAUAAUUUUAUCAUGCUGCUGUUUAAGUACAAAUGAAUCUAGGUUGUCAGUUUAGAUUGUUAAAAAAUAAACCACUUUUUUUUCUAUUUAAGACUGUAUUUGGUUGAGAAAUAGUGAUUGUUCUAUAUUGUCGUAGCAGACGAGUGAAUACAUUAUCUAGAAAAUACUUAUUUGUUGUGAUAUAUGACAAGUUAACAAUAAGUUGCCACAUUACUACAUUGAAAAUUUAUUAAUUUAUCAGUGCUAGGAAAAUCACUAGCUUGAGAGGCUCUUUUUGUAUCUUUGAAUCUCUACAUAGAGGUUCGAGUUUAUGUUUCUAUCAGCUGUAAUCAUGUAGUCUGUCAUUUGGAGGACUGGAUUUGAAGCAAACAAGGAUCUGCCUACUGUGAAAAACACCAUGAUUGCAGGCAGAUAUUAUGUAACUAAAUAUCUGGGUUCAGCUGCUUUAGUAAGAUUUCCCUCUAAAUUUGGGUUUAAUUCACUUCUUCCUUCGGCGUACAGUUUCAAAAUUAUGAACUUCAUGCCUGUGUCAUUUUUUGGUGGAUUGAAAGAACGGAUAAGGAAUUAUCAUUUAUCUGUGAGCUAGUUAUGUUUGCUAUUAGUUGCGAAAGUAGUAAAUUCAAAUUUCGGUUUGAUCUGUUUGGAAAGGUAGAACUAGAUGAUGGCAUUAUGUGCUUCAAUUUGAUGAAGAGUCCCAUGAUUCUGUUGUGCAUGAUAUUUUUCUACAGCAUAUUGUUUACCUGAUGGCAGCGUCUAGGCAGCAAUGCUGCCAGCACACUCUUCUUCAUGCACCGCAUAGUUGAUGUAAGAUCUAUUGGAAAUUAUGAACUUCAUGCCUGUGUAGUUUGGUUUUGGUUUGAAUUGCGUAAUUGGUAAUUGCAAUUUAUAAACCUACCAAAGCCUCUACCUUCCAUAACCAGUAGAUCUACCUGCUUUAAUUCUAGCGACUGGCAACAAUAUUUUGAUUAUGCAGAUAGAUUUGUGAUGAUUGUAUCAACCACCACCUUUCAAGUGACCAUGCUGGUCAUAGUAAUGGGGUUUCAGUUCCAGCUGGAAACCUGGGAAUUCCUAGCGCUGAUGUUAAUGCCAUUCCCAGUGAUUUCAUAAUUCCUCCUGCCGGUUUUGAUGGUGUACAGAAUGACAUAAGAAUGCUAACGGCCACCUAUACAAAUGAGCAGGCUAGGAGUAAGUUUUGAUAAACUUGGUUUGGUAUAUAUUUUCAGAUUAUGUGGGUUUAAGUUGUAGAGUUGAAGUUUGAUGUAAUGUAAUCUGCUACUUAUACAUUUUCAAAUAUUGUCAUGCAUUUUGUAAAAGAAAUUAAUUAUAAUUUGAUUAAAUUGUU